rnacentral:rRNA from 1 species
ACCUACGGGAGGCAGCAGUGGGGAAUAUUGGGCAAUGGGGGAAACCCUGACCCAGCAACGCCGCGUGAAGGAAGAAGGCUUUCGGGUUGUAAACUUCUUUGACCAGGGACGAAACAAAUGACGGUACCUGGAAAACAAGCCACGGCUAACUACGUGCCAGCAGCCGCGGUAAUACGUAGGUGGCAAGCGUUGUCCGGAUUUACUGGGUGUAAAGGGCGCGUAGGCGGGGCUGCAAGUCAGAUGUGAAAUCUGGGGGCUUAACCCUCAAACUGCAUUUGAAACUGUGGCUCUUGAGUAUCGGAGAGGCAGGCGGAAUUCCUAGUGUAGCGGUGAAAUGCGUAGAUAUUAGGAGGAACACCAGUGGCGAAGGCGGCCUGCUGGACGACAACUGACGCUGAGGCGCGAAAGCGUGGGGAGCAAACAGGAUUAGAUACCCGAGUAGUC